rnacentral:lncRNA from 1 species
UUGUCCUGGGCCCUAAGCAAAGAAUCUGUAAGCCAUUUCAUUUCUGGCAGGUCCACUAAAGAUAAAGCUUGCUUCAAUUUGCAUAGCCCUAGGAAGGGUUCCUUCAAAGUGUUUCUGUCAUUCACAACAUCAAACAUUUCAGGUUCAUCAGGUUUGGCCUGAGACAAUAUUUCUUCCCCAACCCCUCCUCUCUCUGCACCCCUUCGUUCCCUCUCCGCGAAUCCCCACAACAGUUGGUUCAAGGUGGAAGUCGCCGCCGGCAUCCAUGGCGGAGGCUGCCGACCCAAGGCCGGAAACAAAGAAGAGGAAAG